GCCCUGCCCAGCCUGCCAGCCGCCUGUUGCCCAGAAAAAGGACUCGCACCAACUAUAAAGCGCCCAGGGCCAGAGGUUUUUAGUUUGGGAGGAGCAGCAGCGUUUACGUGAGGUCAGAACGUGUGAAGGCCACCACUGUGAUUAAUGGAGCCUUGCCUAUCCGGAUAUCUUUUGGGUUGGUCAGUUCUUAGGGCUGGCACCGGAUUUGUGGGCGAUUGAGUGCCACCUCUGCCUCAGGCAAGCAAAAUUGGAACGGAUGUAUCCCAGAACUUCUUCAGAUAUCCCUUUUAAGAACUGAAAUGGGCGAAGAUGCUUUUUGCAGAUGUAACUCCAACCAACAAGAGACCUGCCAAGUACAAACAGAAUGGUUAUUAAAAAAAAAAAAUUCCAUUCCACAUCAUCUUUUGGCAAACUCAUCCAACUGGUGAACCAGCAGUCAAAUUUUCAAGCUGAAGAAAAAAUAUUUCGCAGAAUUCACGAUCAAAAAGGAAAGCUCUACUGAUUGAAAAUUGGCUUCUUUUGUAGUUCUGUGUAUUCUUUUUAUGUUUUUGAAUUCCGUUAACUGUGAAAGAAAAGGAAAAAAAUAACAUGACAUUGGAGUCAUGGAAUCCCAUCAAGUUCUUCUGGAACCCAGGUUUUCCUGGAACGUAGUUUGAAAAUGCCUGACUUAUCAGUGGCUGCUGCUCUUUUUUUUCUACGUAUUAAAAUGUGUUUAAAACGUAUUUAGUACGUUUAAUAAAACGUAUUAAAUUUCUACUGUUUUAAAAAUGUGUGUCUCCAAUUACAUGGUUAUUAUAUGUUAAUUACCGGGAACUGUCUUUGGAAAGAAAUGGUAGAUAUAUUUUUUUAAAAAAAGGAGGAGGAGGAUUCUGAAGAACUUACUGCCAAGCUGGUUUCUUAGCCAGAGGAAAGCUGCUGGGCUCUGCUGCCAACAUGCGCACUGCUCUUGCUGAAUUUUCAGCUGCCUUUUUAUUAAAGGCAUGUGGGCCCCCUGCCAAACGCAUUGCAAGACGUGGGCCUGCUGGGCCCACAUAUUGAGCCACAGCAGUGCCAGCUAUGCUCUCUUCAUCAAUGUAACAAUUCUUUAUCUAAUGAUAGGGCUGAGCUUGAAAUUGUCUUUUUUUUUUUUUUGAAGCUGCGGAAAGGUAGACAGGAAGUUAGAGCCAAGUGAGGCUCUUCAAUCUGUCUUCUAGAGAGAUUUGAAGGGCCUCUUUCCUUGCCAAGUCUACAUUCGUUACAAGGACAAAACACAAAAUUGGCACAUUGAUUUGGCCUAAAGUACAGCAUGUUCCAUAUUGGUAAAUAGAUAAAGAUGCAGCUGUGUAUUGCAAGCUGCUGGUGAAAGACAUUCUUAAAACCCGAAUAUGUCUUGUGCCAGCACUGAAAAUAAUAAGCACCCUUAGAAUAAAAGUUGAUGAAAUCAAUGGCUGCAUCUUGAAUACGAUGGCUGCAAGCUACCCAUCAAGCUUUUUAGAAAGAGACUUUAAAACUACGGUAGAAAUGGAACAGGGGGGAUUAAACAGUCAUUGUACCAUUUUGUGAGGUUGUCCAUGUUACAUUGUUUUAUUAGAUUUAUAUGGCUGCCCAUCUCAAAUACAUGGCUCUAAGUGGCUUAAUAGUAAUAAAAUGAUAAAAACAAACAAA